rnacentral:sRNA from 1 species
GCCGUUUUACAUGCGGGUUAGACACGGCUAGAGGCCAAGGUCAAGUUGAAAGUUGCCGUCUAGCUAAUGUG